GACGGAUUUUGUUCUCUUUGCCCUGCACAGGAGCAACACAGACUGCUCUGUGAGGACUGCUUUCCUGGAACAGCAGCAGCAGUGCACUGUCAGACCAAAGCUUUUCUCCUGUGAUGCAACAUUUCUAAGAAGUUCCUUUCGCCUCUCGGAUGGGAGCAGCCAGUCAUUCACUCCAACUCUUAAUUGCUGCUCUGCAAAAUCCCCAAAAGGAAUGUAACAACUUGUUUCUCACUGUGAAAAUGGGAGGUUCUCCACUGCAAGCUUUAAGCCUUCGGCUGAAUACCUGCUGAACAUCUGGCUUGGGAUCAAGUAAAUGCAGCAGCUGCAGCCUGACAGAACACGCCAGUCUUUCAGAAAGACUCAAAUACCACAAGAAAAAGCCUCAAGCACAGCAUGGCCCCAUGGAAAGCAGAGAAAGGCUGCUGCGAGCAGCAUGGGACACGUGCCCCAGGAUGCACAGCUCAUGAGUGAGCAUACAUGUGCACGUGGGAAGCAUCUCUAAUCCCCUGAAUACUAAACGUGAACCCCUUUUAUCUGGUAUAUGCUUUGAUUUUCUUCCUAAGAAAUAGCAAGCAUGUAUGUUUGGCAUAAGAAAGCUUUCAUCAUGCGAGAUCCCCAAAGCACGCAAAAUGACGGUCCAGGCAUGCUAACUGCACCACAGGGCAAAUUUCUCUUUUCCAAACCUCAGCAAAAUUCAUACAUUCCUUCUAAAUCCAGUUGCAAACCGCUAUCCUGAAGGCACUAAUACUGAAUGCAGGUAUUGAUAGUGCCAAGCAGUAAAUCUGCACCCAUAAGGAGCACGUAGUUCAACCAGAGCCCACAGCAAGGGGAAGGUAACCAACCGACCAAAGGAAAAAGGAUGCACCUAGAGCAAACAAUUGCAAACCUUGUAGGGAGACACAGAUUAGCAGUCUAAUUAGAACCACCAGAUAACCACAUGUAAAAUAGGGUUUUUAGUGCAUUUUCAAAGCACUGUGACCGGAAGACACGUUACAUCCAUCUAAAAGGAUGAAUUCUGCUCUAGGCACUCCAGUGUUAAUGUACUGCAACUCCAGU
ensembl:lncRNA